rnacentral:rRNA from 1 species
UGCAGUCGAGCGGGCGUAGCGAUACGUCAGCGGCAGACGGGUGAGUAACGCGUGGGAACAUACCUUUUGGUUCGGAACAACACAGGGAAACUUGUGCUAAUACCGGAUAAGCCCUUACGGGGAAAGAUUUAUCGCCGAAAGAUUGGCCCGCGUCUGAUUAGCUAGUUGGUGAGGUAACGGCUCACCAAGGCGACGAUCAGUAGCUGGUCUGAGAGGAUGAUCAGCCACAUUGGGACUGAGACACGGCCCAAACUCCUACGGGAGGCAGCAGUGGGGAAUAUUGGACAAUGGGCGCAAGCCUGAUCCAGCCAUGCCGCGUGAGUGAUGAAGGCCCUAGGGUUGUAAAGCUCUUUUGUGCGGGAAGAUAAUGACGGUACCGCAAGAAUAAGCCCCGGCUAACUUCGUGCCAGCAGCCGCGGUAAUACGAAGGGGGCUAGCGUUGCUCGGAAUCACUGGGCGUAAAGGGUGCGUAGGCGGGUCUUUAAGUCAGGGGUGAAAUCCUGGAGCUCAACUCCAGAACUGCCUUUGAUACUGAGGAUCUUGAGUACGGGAGAGGUGAGUGGAACUGCGAGUGUAGAGGUG